GGUGGGGGGGGCGUCUCUCAGCCUGGAUUGCAAGAGGGUGCAGGCCAGGCCAAGGGACCCCACUGGUGCACG
rnacentral:pre_miRNA from 1 species